rnacentral:lncRNA from 1 species
CAUUUUCUUGAACACAUAAUAGUCCGAUAUGAAUGCAUCUCAUCAUUUCAAAAGUAGAACCAUCUUUUAGUUUUGGAUCUAUCACGUUUACCGGUAUUCCUGCCUUCCAGUUUUUCCAUGCCUGAAAAAUUAAAAACGUUAAUUUUAGUACUUGAAGUACUAUACAAUUUGAUUUUUAUAUAACACCGAAAGAUUGUUGUUUAGAAUUGGUAUAUAUAAUCACAAAGCUGGUGAGAUCUUCCACUUUUUUUCCAUUGCGAAAACAAAUAUUUUUCUGGCCAAAACUAAAUACGUCUGAUUUCACUGAAAAUUGUCCAUCCAAUGCAUACUCUGGAGCCAUAUAUCCGCUGAAUAUUUAUGGAGGUAUUUUUAAAAAUAAUAAAAUAAAUUAAAAUAUUUAACCCGCUAUAUAGAAUCUUGUAUUAUGUAAGAAUAUAAAUGUUAAUAAAAUCUGAAUUUUUCUACUAUUAAACUACUUACAAAUAUUAAAUAUUACUUAAUUUUUUUUAUAGAUACCUUAUAAAAACGAUAAAGUAAUAAGACUAUGGGAACUCGAACCAAGUGGCUCUCUUAAAUCUGCCGGUGAUUAUAAGUAUUUAUAAAUAAUGGGAUAAAAGCUAAAAUUUUAUUAUAUUUUGUUUAAAAUGUGAUGACAAAGCUGGAGUUUGUGUUGGAGGCAAAGAUGGAAAGGGAACAUUAUCAGGCGACGGUGCGAUGGGAGAUGGAAGUAUGGCGGCAUAAAUAGGAACAAUCUCAUAGUUGAGUUGGCAACUACCUGCCAUGAAUCUAGCCC